AUGGGGACCGAGUGCGACGUCAACGUGGUCUGGCACCACGUGGAGAACGGCGGGUGCCUCCAGAAUUUCAUGAAGGCGACGGACGAGUGCAACCCCUUGGACAGUGACGAUGGACGUCCAGGCGUCGUCAAUGUCGAGGCAUGCAUCAAGGCGACCGCGGCGCUGCGCAAGUGCUUCGGCCGCAACCGCCGGUGGUUCAAGCACCAGUACAUCAACCGCAUGGACUUCCUUCUCGACGAGGACGUCAAGCCGUCGCCGGAGCAGGUGCAGGAGGAGGAGAGUAGCCAGUACAGGUGGUGGACCGGCAUGAGGAGAAGCUACCUAGCUUGUACUAAUUGCAUGCAUGUUUGA
rnacentral:rRNA from 1 species